UACAGAGGUCUCAAGCGUUGUUCGGAUUCAUUGGGCGUAAAGGGUGCGUAGGCGGCGCGGUAAGUCGGGUGUGAAAUCUCGGAGCUUAACUCCGAAACUGCAUUCGAUACUGCCGUGCUUGAGGACUGGAGAGGAGACUGGAAUUUACGGUGUAGCGGUGAAAUGCGUAGGUAUCGUAAGGAAGACCAGUGGCGAAGGCGACUACCUGGCCUGUUCUUGACGCUGAGGCGCGAAAGCUAGGGGAGCAAACGGG
rnacentral:rRNA from 1 species